AAAAAAAAAUAAAAAAAGAAAGAAAGAAAAAGAAAAACUUUGAAAACAAAUGGCUGCAAGUUUUUAAGGAUUUAGGCUAGAAAGAAUGUAAAAGUUUAUAGUUUAUUCUUCCAGUUCCACUGCAGCAUUAAUAUGAAAUCUGAAGAGGCAUUUUAAACGUGAUUGUGUCAAAGCCUAGAAGUAAUGGCUUCAAUCCCAUAAUCAUAGAAUCGCUAAGGUUGGAAAAGACCCACAGGAUCAUCCAGUCCAACCAUUCACCCAUCACCAAUGGUUCUUGCUAAACCACGUCCCUCAAAACAACAUCCAAAUGCUCUUUGAAUACCACCAGGCUCGGUGACUCCACCACCUCUCUGGGCAGCCCAUUCCAGUGCCUGACCACCCUUUCAGAGAAGUAGUAUUUCCUAACGUCCAGCCAGAACCUUCCCUGGCACAGCUUGAAGCCAUUCUCUCUAGUCCUAUCACUAGUCACACGAGAGAAGAGGCCGAACCCCAGCUCACUACAACCUCCCUUCAGGUAGUUAUAGAGAGCAAUAAGGUCUACCCUGAGCCUCCUCUUCUCCAGACUGAACAAUCCCAGCUCCUUCAGCCGCCCCUCAUAAGGCCUGUGCUCCAGACCCCUCACCAGCUUUGUUGCCCUCCUCUGGACACGCUCCAGGGCCUCGAUGUCUUUCUUAC
ensembl:lncRNA